AACGAUAUCAUUCGAGAUGAUGGUUGGCUAGGAGCGUGCUAUGCGGUGAAAUUCUGUUUUUAGAGUGUACAUGCGCAAGAUCCUGAUCAAGACCGACAACAUUCACCGUGGAUCCUGAUGUCUGUAGCUGUCACGUGUUGUACCAGAAGCUGAAGAAGGUAACUAUGGUAUGUUGGGCACGUUCGCUGUUGAAAUGUCUCAAGGAUGCGGUAAGCUAAGGUAAUCUCCCUUCAGUGUUAUGGAUGCAAGAGUAGCGAACGCUGAAUGUUUAAAAAUCAGCUAAGUCAUUCUUAAACCUUCAGAUUUCGUGAAUUCCUAUUACAGAUGCGAUGUCUCUGCUUUUUGCUUCGCUUUGGAACACUCUGCUGUCUCGAGUGCUUUAUAUUUUCAGGUUCUUCGGGACGCAAAUUCUUCCUCCUCGGCUGGAUCUGACCACAGCGUGUUGCAACAUCCGGAACUCUAGCCGCAGGUCUUAUCACGCAAGCCUGACAACCGUGUGCACACGAUGUACUACAUCCCUUUGGGCCUCGAAGCGUCGCGGACCUGCCUUCUGGUAUUCUACCCCAUGCAACAGUCUGAAGACUCGCCUCCAUCGGAAGGUACCCGGACCCAUAGCAGUUGCCACUAUAGCAUUAUAUAAAACUAGGUAGAAACGCGUAUCGAAUGUGAACGUUUAUACUGCAGCUUUAGAUUUGUGUAACUGCUAGCUUGCGCAGUGUUUUGCUGAUCCUCCUGCUAAAACUCUUAAUCGUGCACAUUUCCUUAAAUAGCGCUUCUCUACGCAGGCACCUCUCUCGUCAUAUCUUUCACCCUAUAGCAAAAAAACGUGUGCGCACACGUAAGUCAGGUUCCCUGGGGGUUCUAGCUUGAUUUUCUCUCUCCCUCUCUCCCACUGCGCUUUCUCAUUUUAUUUCUUUAUUUUUAGGUGCCUGCGAGAGUAAUUUCCCCCAAUAUCGGUCUUAAAAAAAAAACACAGUGGGACGAGAAUACGCCCCGCAGUUACUUCAGAUACCCUCAAAAUUUUCUUCCCUGUAGAAGCCUAUUGUUUCUUGCAGGAUUGGCAUCGCCUGUGCUAAUUUUCAGAAAAAAAUGCUGUACUUGAAUUACCCGCUAAGCGGGUAUGUUUGUGUCAUAUGAACAGAAAUAUACGACUAAAUAAGA